rnacentral:rRNA from 1 species
UUGAAAGGGAAACGAUUGAAGUCAGUCGUACCAGCGGGAAAUCAACCUUUCGAGUGGGGNUUUUGGAGUUUUGAAGAGUGUCAAAACCUUUGAGAUUUCAAAAUUUUCGCUCUUUUGGUGUACUUUCUCGUGGGUAGGUUAACAUCGAUUUUGAAUCAUCAUAAAAAGAUUGGAGGAAUGUAGCUUCGAUCUUGUAUUGAAGUGUUAUAGCCUUUGGUAAAUGUGAUGAUUAGGAUCGAGGAUUGCAACGAAUACCCUUUUGGGCUAUCCGCCUGAUCUCUGAUACGUGGCCUUGGUAUCGAAAGCGUGCUUAUGGUAUUGAGGUAUUACGGUCAAAAGGUUAGAACGGAUUACAUUCGUUAAGGAUGUUGACGUA